AAUAGAUACCCCGGUAGUCCACGCCGUAAACGAUGGAUACUAGCUGUUGGAGGUAUCGGACCCCUCCAGUAGCGAAGCUAACGCGUUAAGUAUCCCGCCUGUGGAGUACGGUCGCAAGACUAAAACAUAAAGGAAUUGACGGGGACCCGCACAAGCGGUGGAUUGUGUUCUUUAAUUCGAUGAUAAACGAUGAACCUUUCCAGGGCUUGACAUCCCGAGAAUUUUGCCGAAAGGCGAGAGUGCUUUAUUGAACUCGGUGACAGAUCUUGCAUGGCCGUCGUCAGCUCGUGUCGUGAGAUGUUUGGUUAAGUCCAUCAACGAGCGCAACCCUUAUGAAUAGUUGUAUUUUUCUAUUCAGACUGCCCUGGCAACAGGGAGGAAGGGGGGGAUGAUGUCAGGUCAGUAUUUCCCUUACGUCUGGGGCUACAAACACGCUACAAUGGCCGGUACAAAGGGCAGCCAACCCGCGAGGGGGAGCAAAUCCCAUCAAAGCCGGUCUCAGUUCGGAUAGCAGGCUGAAACUCGCCUGCUUGAAGUCGGAAUCG
rnacentral:rRNA from 1 species